rnacentral:rRNA from 1 species
UACAGAGGGUGCGAGCGUUAAUCGGAAUUACUGGGCGUAAAGCGUGCGUAGACGGUUAUUUAAGUCGGGUGUGAAAGCCCCGGGCUUAACCUGGGAAUGGCAUUUGGGACUGCAAGGCUUGAGUGCGGCAGAGGAGACUGGAAUUCCCGGUGUAGCAGUGAAAUGCGUAGAUAUCGGGAGGAAUACCGAUGGCGAAGGCAGGUCUCUGGGCUGACACUGACGCUCAUGCACGAAAGCGUGGGGAGCAAACAGG